GCUCAUCCUGUCCCCACCCUCCAUCCUCACUCCUCACUGGCCACUUGUCGCUCCGCUGCGACCUGGACCAGAAGACCGUGGUAGGCUAGGGUGGGACAACCCCCGCAGGUGACGGUGCUGCAGGCAGCGCUGAGCUGGGGCGGCUCAGCCUUGGUCACAUUGAAUGCUGGGGAAGGGGGCGCGGGACACCCAGCUGAAAAUCGAAAAAGAACCUCCAGAGGGAAGGGUCAUAGGUGUCUGUCAGUCGUGUUUUACACCAGAAAGGACUUGUAAACGUUGUUCUUUUAAAAAUAACCUACCGGGAAUAAUGGGUUUCUGAUUGCUCCUUAUCUGUUAUCUUGCACAUGGUCGUUUUACACACAAGUUCCAAAGUUGAACUGCUUUAAACUUUACAGUCUUUGAAGCUGCAACAUCGCCAGUACAACGCACUUGUCACUUCAGGACUUUUUGUGCUUGGUUGGUAAUAUAAUGAUUAGCAUAAUAAGGAUAUUUGGGGCAGUUUUCCCUAUACUUCAUAGAAUUAACUUUUCAUUUAGGUUAGAAAAUUAUGUCUGGUUUCCAAAACGAUUACAGAGCAAUUUUCUUUCAAUGAUAACACACAAUGAUUAAGUAUACUUUGUUAAGUCUUUUGUUGUUACAAUAUACGAAAACCAGAUUAGUCUGAUAAAUUAAGUGGCUUUUUUUUUCUUUUCUUUUUCUCCCCUUUCCCUCCCUCCCUCUGUUUCUUUUAUUCUUUCUUGCUGCUGGGAAUUGAACCCUGAGCCACUUGAAUGCAAGGCAACUAAUUAACUAAUUUAUUUUCUUUCUUUCUUUGCUUCCUGCUUUUCUUUCCUUUUUUCUUUUUUCUUUCCUUCUUUUCUCUCAUUCCCUCCCUCUCUUCCUUCCUUCUGCUCUCCUUCCCUCCCUUCUUCUUUUCCUUCUUUUCCCUCCUUCUUUUUAAGAGAUUAAAAAUAUACAAAAGAGCCAAACCAAUAGAUUAGCAGGCUUUUGAUGACGGAAAUAUAGAAUGUCAUCUUAAAAGGACCUUGGAGUACUUUCAGUUCCAGACUUUUAAUUUACAAAUGAAAACCUGAGGUCCAGAAGUGUUCUGUGACUUGAUUAAAUCACUCAAGGCUGCACUGGUGACUCUUUGCUCUAAUCUAUGUGAACUCAGCAAAGCCAACGCAUGCCUUUUAAGUACAAAAACAUAUUUCAUUAAAAUUAGCCAUCCCUCCCAUUUGUUAAUGUCUAGCAGCUUUAAACUGGCCCAAAGGACAGGAUCUCACAACACAGAAGUUAUACUUCUUGGAAGAUUCUAGCCUAGAGGUAGGAAGGUGCUGGUUCAUCAUGACUUCACCAGAGUUUGGCAUAUAGUAGGUCCCCGUUAUAUAUUGGCUAUUCAAAAAUUGCUAAUAGAAAAAUGUAUCUGUCUGGAAACAAGGUGACAGCAUUGAGGAAUGAUCCCUGGCUCCUUCUCCAGCCCUCUUUCAAUGGAGCCUGUCACAAAAAGUGGCAAGAAGCCCAAGGUCCUUGUGCCUAGGAAGAUUCCUCAUCCUUCUCAGAGCCACCUGAACCUGCUUGUUGGGAAUUCUCUGGGUUUCCUUCAAGCACACUCUGACAGCAGGCCCUUUGCAGUUCUCUUCUGUCCUCUAGCCUGGAUGGGAUGUGUGGUCAUAUGCUAAUGCCUCCAGUGGGUACACUGAUUGCAUUUGCUUACUCUGUGCUCUUUUUAUACCUUAAGGCAGUUAUCUUUUGUGAGAGUUAAGAUUUACCUUGGGAACUGAAACUCGUGUCUGAGUUUUCCACUGACAAUUUCAAAAGAAGGCUAAAUACAGACAGGGGUGUAAGGAAAAAUUUUAAUGCCCUGCUACUUUAAUCAGUUGCCAUUGGUUUAAAAAUCAAAUUUUAGAUGAUGAUGCUGUUGGCCAUAAAGUAAGUACCUACCUACCAGGUAUUGUGACAGGCACGUUUGAUGCACCGUUCAUCUGAUCUUUAUAACAAUCUUUUAAAGUAGGUGUUGUUGACAUGGAGCCAUUGUCAUCAUCUCUUUUUAACAGAUAAAAUUAAUGAGGUUUCAAAGAUUAUGUUUUGUGUCCAGAAUCUCACAAUUAUUAAAGUUCCAGGAUUAGGAUCCAAACUCUGAGCCUCAAGGCCCCCUCUCAGGUGCUGUGGAAUAAUGCCUCCAUCCUAACAUUGCUCUCAGUUUUCUGCUUCACUUUCUUUUGGACAUCAGGUCUCAAGUCUCAUGAUGCUCUAUUAUUCUCUGACCAUAUAGUCCUACAAUUGGAAACUCUUUAAUAUGAAGAUUGGAUCUUAUAUAAUAAUCAUCAUAUGUCCUAGAAAAAAUGUUUUGUUUUGUUUUGUUUUUGUCUUAGAAUGUUAUCUAAAACAAACAAACAAAAAUCCAAAUCUUUUUCUGGAACACAUUGGUGGAGUGGGAACCCUGCACUUUUGGACCCCAGCAUCCUGCAGGACCAUCCUUCCCCUCUCCAGGUUGCAAGGCUUUUCAGCUUUUUCUCACUGUUUCACACACACGCAGAUGAUCAGAAGUUCACACCUUGGUUUCCUGGAAGAGGAAAUGGCAUUUCCGGGAGGGGAUAAUGCGUGGGUGCUAAAGUUCCACUCCCUGCCUUAAACACACCCCAACUUUCAGUUGCGCACUUCUUUUCCUCCUUAGGUCUUUGCCCUAAAGUUUCCUGGAAUCAUGCUGAGUGCACCUGCUUCAUUAGGUUCUCUUCAGCUGAGAAAGAUGUGAUUCCUGCUUUGGACUCAGUCGCUCAAGAUUCCCAGGCGUCUUGUCCCUGCAGCUGUCACAAACCACUUUCCUCCAACUUGGAAUCUGGAAGAGAGCCUUAGACAUCACUUGGUGUACUUUUGGAUCUAGUGGGUGACUAUGCUGUGAUUUCCAUGGAAACCACCUCUUAUACCCUUCUGUGGGAUUAACCUUUCUUAAGGGACUUAGGAUAGAAAUUGCAAAGGAGUUGUUCUUGUUUGAGCCUCAAUGUGGAGAAGGAUGGUAUUUGGGGAGAAGUAGGAUAUGACUGACAAUUGGAGGACAGUGCUAUUUAACAAGAACUUCUCUGUCUUUGCACAAGUCACCAUUUGGAGGAAGCCAAUUUGGACUAUUUUAUGAGGAAUUUGAUCACCCAGCUAUCCAUUUCCCCAAAGUCUGCCAGAAAUUGUUUUAAAAAAUGUCACACCCAAGUCCCCUGAAGAAUCCACAUGGAAUUCAAGGAUGGUGAUCUGCUGUAACCAAAGAUUUCAGUAACAUCUGAAGUUUGGCAUACAUUUAUUUGGAAAAUGUAAAAAUUAUUUUAGAAGAUAUUGAUUCAAAUGAGCUACAGAGAUGCAAACAAAAACAGACAGAUGGUUAGAAUGACGUGGUUGCUCUAAAUAGAACUCUCUACUUUUCACUGAAGGACAAAAAUUACUCCCACAUACAAAAGAAAAAAGAAAAACACCUCAAAGAAGGAAUCAUGAUACUGUUUCAAUCUGCCCUGAAAACACCACAGAAACACUUCGACUUUUUAUGCUUUUUUUCAUCUGCAACUGGUUUUAAGCAACUUUUCAUCAAGACUAAAACAAUUGACACUGAACUGCCAGAUCAAGUAAAUAAAUCUGGGGUUACGUGACUUGGGGAGGGCUGCAGAAAUGUGAAUUAAAUCUUAAUCACACUAAGAAAGUUUUUUACGGCUCCCAAAGCCAGAAUGCUAUUCUUUGAGAAUCUUUGCACCCUGUGAUUUAACCUGCCAAGGACACUUAAAGAAUUUAAGAACUCAAGAAGUGUCCAGGGUAAGACUCAGCAAGGUGCACCAAGUCUGGCUGCCACAACUGUGCUAAGAAGAUUUGGCUUUUCCCAGGGAUAUAGUAGGAACCUGAGCAAAGGAAACAAAAUGAUAAAUAAACUGAAAGUUUUUAAACUUACAUUCUCAAGUUUAUGCUCUUUUGUCUACUCAACAGAGUAGCAAAGCACUAAAAGGGUUUUUAGAAAACUCUUGUACAUGAAUAUUUCCCCCAAACUUCUCUGUAUGUUUUUUUUUUUUUUUCCAGAAUCAUACUUUUUCUUUUCCUUGCAAUUGUAUUUUGAUAGAAUGCAGAUCUCUUCCAUGGUUCUCAACUUAAAUUCUUCCUUUUAUUUCCCAACUAUGAGAGAAAAUUCCAAAAAUUCCAAGCCAUACUUUGUAAUUCCUUGAACAUAGUGGAUCCAUUAUGUACAUUAUAGAGAGGGUGUGGAGAAAGUGGAAUUCUCAUGCAAAUUAGUACAACUUUGGAAAAUUGUCUCACAAUAUCUGCUACAGCUGAACAUAGCGCCACCAGUGACCCAGGCAGAUCAUAUGUCCACAAGCUACAGAAAUGUGUCCAGAUGCACUAAAAGACAUGUACAGUUCAUCCAUCCUAGUAUUGUUCAUAAUCACCUCAAACUGGAAGCAACCCAAGUGCAUCGUGAAAUUGUGGUUCUUCAAUCAAUUGAAUCCAUGCACAGAAGAAUUAACACAAGAAUGCCAUAUGCCACUCUCUGAGCACAUCUUGCCAACAUAAUGUUGAGUGAAAGAAGCCAGUUUCCCCCAACGGACUUACUGUAUGUUUUCAUUUACAUAAAGUUAAAAAGUAAGUAGAAUUAAUUGGUGUGAUGUGGAGUUAGGACAGUAGUUAUUCCAGCAGGGAGGUGGGUGGUGGAGUGUCUGACCUCUGGCUGCCUAUGGUGACUUUUAUUACUAGAUACGGAGGAUGGUCACAUAGGUAUGCCCUCCUUGUAAGAGUUCAUCUAGCUGUCCACCACUGGUGAGUUGUUUACUUUUCUGAAUGUGUCAAUUCCAAUAAAAAAAGAUUAUUUGAAAGUGGA